rnacentral:pre_miRNA from 1 species
UAAAUACUCCCUCCGUCCGAAAAUACUUGUCUUCAAAAUGGAUAAAAAGAGAUGUAUCUAAAACUAAAAUACGUCUAGAUACAUUUCCUUUUAUCCAUUUUGAUGACAAGUAUUUCCGGGCGGAGGGAGUAUUUG